rnacentral:rRNA from 1 species
UGGGGAAUAUUGGACAAUGGGGGCAACCCUGAUCCAGCCAUGCCGCGUGAGUGAUGAAGGCCUUCGGGUUGUAAAGCUCUUUUGGCGGGGACGAUGAUGACGGUACCCGCAGAAUAAGCCCCGGCUAACUUCGUGCCAGCAGCCGCGGUAAGACGAAGGGGGCUAGCGUUGUUCGGAAUUACUGGGCGUAAAGCGAGUGUAGGCGGUUGCCGUAGUCAGGUGUGAAAGCCUUGAGCUCAACUCAAGAAAUGCACUUGAUACUGGGUGACUAGAGGACCGGAGAGGAUAGUGGAAUUCCCAGUGUAGUGGUGAAAUACGUAGAGAUUGGGAAGAACACCAGUGGCGAAGGCGACUAUCUGGACGGUUACUGACGCUAAGACUCGAAAGCGUGGGGAGCAAACAGGAUUAGAUACCCUGGUAGUCCACGCCGUAAACGAUGGGUGCUAGACGUUGGCGAGCUUGCUCGUCAGUGUCGCAGCUAACGCGUUAAGCACCCCCGCCUGGGGAGUACGGCCGCAAGGGUUGAAAANUUAAAUGAAUUUGACGGGGGUCAUAGCUGUUUCCCU